rnacentral:snoRNA from 1 species
UUCUCCAUACAUAUUUCACUUCCGGAAUACCAGCAAGACUAACUUGCCUCUAUUUAGUUAAGCACAAAUGGCCGGAAGGAGAUUAAAAGUCGAGAAAACACCAUCAUUAUUAAAAUCCAGGCUAUUUAUAUUUAUGUUUACAGUUUGGUUCGCGUGAUGGAUACAUUG